GAAAAAAAAAUAGACUUAAAUUGCAGCGCGGCGUGGUUACUGGAGGCUGCGAGUAAGUUGAAUUCUCUCUCCCAUUUCAUACUCCCUCAAACCCUACCAUACCCCCCCUCUCCUCUCUCUCCUCUCUCUCUCUUCAUCAGAUCUAACAUUGCUAAGCCAUGGGAGAGUCGUCGAACUACCUUGUAUCGGAGCUCUGAUUCACUACCAAUUACCUCGAAUUUAAUUGUGUUUAUUAAUCUGACCUUGUAAACCUCUGCCUAAAGCCUAAAACCCAUCAAGUUCCUCCACCGCAGAAUUGCUCCAUCGAUGGGGAAAGGCGAAAUGGAGCAGCUGACCUUUGAAUUGAACCAUGAUUCUUCCAGUUUGUUGCUUCACCUACGGCAAGAUGAACACUGAGCAGUAUUUCUGCAUUUAUGUUGAUCCACAAGGGAAUUUGUCCAGGAUUCCUGUCAUACUUGAUCAGAUCGUGUUCCAGAAUUUGUUCUUUGUCCACGCAAUGAUUUGUCCCGAAGUUCAAUCAACCUAUGGAGUAUGUUGCAUUGGAGGGAAGAUCUUCUGGAUCAGUUUUGACUUAUAUUGGAGUAUGUCCAUUUAGUAGUAUUUCUUAUAUUGCCAAUCUUUAUGGUCGUUUGUUUAUGUUUUGGCAAGUGUUCAUGACAGUUCCUUUGAUUUUAUGGACUCUAACUUGUGUUGUGACAGCAAAUGGAUGAGCGAUUUUGACAUGACACCUCCUGCUUUUGCAAUGUUAACUUCAGCUGCAGGGACAUUUUCUGCCCCGGCUGAUGAUACCUUUUAGCUAUCUCUUUUAAUGUUUUUCCUCCGCGUCUCUUUAUUUCCCCUUCUCCCCCACGCCUCCCUGUUCUUUUCUUGUCCCCAAAGGUUGGUCUUCCUGUACCACAUUAUAUUUUGUUAAUCAAGUACCCGGUCUCAAUUCAGCAAAUCAUGUGUUAUUUAUACUAGAGUUUUCUCCAUGUUGAAUUUCUUAUUUUAUUUUUUUGUUAUUUACAUGGUGAAAUAAUUCUGAAACUGAUAGAUGUUUUUGGUUUGUUCUUUUGUUUUUUUUUUCUAUGUGUUAUUUUUUUUGAAUAAGAAGGCAAUGUUGGGUCUGAUCUAUUCUUAUUUAUGUAUUCUUUACUUGUUGAAUGUGUUCUUAUAGUGACUCUUGGCAUCAUAUAUUUUCACCACAGGGAUCAGGAAACCAGUACAAAGGCUUAGUAGAUUGUGUCAAGACUAUUGUUAGGGAAGAGGGGGGCCCUGCCCUUUUAAAGGUAUGGAGUGUAGGAAUCAAACCAGACCUCGCUUAACAUUAGCGUUCUUUACAAGUAGAGGUAUUCACAAACUUCCUGUUAAUUGUGAUGAUGCAUGCAACAUGUCCAUACGAAGAAUUCCAGAGUAGGAGAAUAUUGUGUUGUAACUUGGAACUUCUAAAAUUGGAACCUAUAAAGUUGGUCGCUGUUGUUAUUGACAUGACGAAAUUGAUGAGAUGCUUCUUGAAAACUACUAGUGGUAGUGCCAUUAAACAGUUUUCUAAAUUUUUAGAGAACAAUGAUGAUACUAGUGAUGGUGGAGGGGCUCCAGUUUUCACAUUUUUGUCCAUCUCUGCCCAUGGGCUCGGUACGAGGAGGAUGACACUCAUUCAAAGAGAGGUGUUCUCCUGCUGUAUAGAGCAAGGUGGGCAACGGAUAGGAGAAGGGUGAUUAUUUUUUAAUAUUUGUAUGAACUUAAUUACAAUUGAGGUGGGUUAUUGUUAGUUUGGCUUGUCAACUCAAAGUUUUGGUUGACAUUUUUUGUUUAUUGAUUUAGUCAGGUACUGAGUAUUGUUCAUCGUUCAUCUGAUUGUUUUAAUUAGGAUAGAAAUGUUGAUGUAAUAUGUAGAUUGAUUGAAUAUCAAUUGUUGGUUUGGCUUAGAA